rnacentral:lncRNA from 1 species
GUGUUUUCACCCAAAAUAGAAAAAGCUGACACAGAAAAUAGGCUUUUCUUGGUAGUUUUUCUGAUAAAAAUGGGGACCAGUGUAAAACCCAAGUAGACAAGACACAAAUCAACCCAAGAGCAAGAGAAAGGAUACUUUUCUUUUUCAGGGGGAGAUGCAAAGAAGCUUCAAACAAGGAAAUUACCUGUCUCUGGAUCCUUCUUAUGUCAAGAAAUCAGGUUUUGAUUGUCUGUGGAGAGCAAGGCUUGAUCCACAACAGAGGAUCCUUUGAGCUGUAGUGUUUACCUUGCUGUCUCAAGGCCUAACUGCUUCAUUCUUUGUAAUUUGAUUAUUUGGUCACGCCCUGGAAUGCAAAGUACUGCUCUGAUGUAUUUGUAUAAACCUAGGCUCUUCAAAUACUGCAACGUACAGUACAUUUUGCUGGUGUCUCACAUAGGGGUUUCCACUCAUUCCUUGGGAUGACAGCUGGGGCACACCAAAAACAUCUCCCUGGAGACUUAGACCAAAAUAUCUACUACACUCUCAAUCCUAUUGCAUCUGGAGGAUGCUCAGUGAUCUCUUCUGGCCUUGCUGCAGCUCCAGCUCUCUUCCUGCAGCUCCUUUUUUCCUUCAGAAGAGCUAGGACAAGUGCCAGCUAAGGAAGCAAGACAUAUCUCUGCUAACAGCUGCUCCUUAAAAACUUGCAAAAUCCGAUUGUGUGCAGCUGACUGCAGAGCUGGUAUAUGUGUCAGAAACCUGACAGAAACUAAACCUGAAAAAAUGAGGGUAACAUACUUCUACUUAGAAGAUUUAAAGACGUUACUUUUUUUUUUUUUUUUGGUAGAAUCUCUUUACCAUACCCAAAAUUGGCUAGGGCAAAAGAUCUCUGUUAUUCAGCAUCUAAAUUAAAGGCUGAUAAAUCUGAUUGUUCUGAAGUGUUCUCCUUUAGCCUGCCAAAGUGAUUUCCAGAAAAAAUGAGUAAGACAUUUAUUCUUGUCCUUAUGUAUCAAGUGGAAUGAAAAAAAAAGUGUGAAAACCUAGAAAUUCAUGUUUAUUAUUUCAUUAUGCCUAUGCUUUUUACAACCCUUUUCCCCGCUUAUUCCAAGGCACAUUCCGGGAUGCCACUUGCAUGACUUUUAAGAAAGACCACAUAAAAAUGUCAGACUAGUUUUACAAAAAGCCUAGAGGCAAGUAGCACACUCUUCCUCUCACUUUAAUAAGAUUAAAAGUGGCAAUAACAGUUCAUUAUGUUUUUGAACAAUCUCCAGAAGAA